UCCUGGUUAGCUCAGUUGGUAAAGCGCUCCGCUUGAAAUGGAGAGGAGUCUGGUUGGAUACCAGGACCAGACG
rnacentral:tRNA from 1 species